rnacentral:rRNA from 1 species
CCUGGUGACCAUACGUACGGGAAAACGCCUGAUCCCAUUCCGAACUCAGAAGCUAAGACCGUCCGGCCGAUGAUAGUCCUUCGGGGCGAAAGUAGGUGAUUGCCAGGA